GUUCCAACUUGACAUCUCCAAAAAUCGGGAGGUCUGGUAAAGGCAAGAAAACGUUGACCUCUAGUGUGACUGGGUAGAAAAUUUAGAAAAUUUAAACUUUCUUUCAGAAGCGCCAUUUCUUGAUUCCGAGACUCGUGAAUACAACAACUGUAAAUUUCCGCCUUUCAUGCGAAAUAUUACGAAACUUUGUCGUACAAAACAUCCCUCUUGGCGAAAUACCGCUUUUUUGUCGAUCCGACAACCGUUUUUACCGUACGCGAACGGCUUUUACAAGGAUUCUUUUAGAAAAAGUAACAUUUUUUCUUUUCAUUCGUAAAAUCGGGAGGUUUAAAUAUAAAUCGGGAGAUCGGGAGAUUUGCCAAGAAAUCGGGAGCCUCCCGAUCAAAUCGGGAGGGUUGGAACCUUUGCCAU